AUAUAUAUAUAUAUACACACAUAUAUAUAUAUAUAUAUGAAAUACUUGACUUUCAGUGAAUUCUAGCUAUAUAUAUUUAUCUUAUUAUAUAUACAAAUAAAAGAAAUAGUUGAAUUUCCGACGGCACCUAUCAAAUACACAGUAAUAAAAACACAGUUGUUCUAUUAACUGUACUGUGUUUGCUGGUUACUAAAAAAACAACAACACUUACCUUUCACUAUUUGAGUAACCUUUGUUCUGCCAUUUGCGUAUUGGCGAGCGAUCUCCGAAUCCGGGAACAUAUAUCACGGAUUUGUUGUAGACCUCUGCAAAUGAGAACGGGAUGUUGCUUCCAGCUAUCAGCAUGGCCAUCUUUGUCUCAGCAUAAGUUACACCAUCCGGUCUCCUUUUUGCGAGGUGCCCCAUAUAAUACUGGGUUGUGAACGACGCUGCGCUGCGGACGCUUUGUGCUUCGCUGACCGUUCAUGGCUGAGUAUAUCCGUUCGGCCGCCGUGUUCAAUGGAGAAGUCUGUUCUACAAAAUUUACAGGCAACAUACCCCUUCCCCUUUGAACUCUCCUGGAUAAACUGAGAUUCUUGUUUCCAAUCGUUGUGGAACUUGCAAGCGUAUUUCUUCAUUUUGCUCGUCGACGGUGUAAUAUAGUGGGUUGGAGUCAAUAACCAGGCGACAUGAUGAAGUUACGUCUUUCAUUGUCACUGACGUCCCACUGGGUCAUUAUUGUCACCAAUGUCCCACUGGGUGUGAGUUUUCCUUGCCCUUAUGUGGGCCUACCGAGGAUGUCGUGGUGGUUUGUGCAGCCCUUUGAGACACUAGUGAUUUAGGGCUAUAUAAGUAAACAUUGAUUGAUUGAUUGAUACUGUGGGCUUCAGAACAGACUCCCUAAUGCAUGUUCCUUGACUGCACUUAAAUGUAGAAUAUAUUUACAUUCUAUUCUUUUCUAUGUACAGUAGAUGGCAAUAUUGUCCUCUUUAAAAGGGUCACAGCAUUGCUGAGUCAGGUUCUCAUGGAGCUGGAGGUUGCGUGGCCUCCAGUUCCGCCUGAAUUUCAGGAGAUUUUCGGGAGAAAAUUUGUCCCGGGAGGUUUUCGGGAGAGGCGCUGAAUUAUCGGGAGUCACCCGGAAAAUCCGGGAGGGUUGGCAAGUAUGAAUUAUAGGGCUGUAGUCCAUUGCAAAUGUUUAUUGUUUUGCUCGUAUCUGCUUUUUGCAGGAAGAUCUAACCCCCUUGCGUACUCCUGAUAGUUUUCACGCUGCUUGCUGCACAACAGCCAUCUUGGCUUGGUUGACCACCACUGCUUUUCAUUUCCGAUGGCGUCGCCCGGCGUGGAGGGGCUCUUGGUAAAGAUGGAACAUUUGGCAAAAAUACCGGACAAUUCUGCAAAUGUCAUGGCUGGCUUACAGCGUGGUCACUCCGGGAUCACUUACGACCGCCAGACAAUUCUGGAUGUGGAUAGAUCGGGCUGUUUUGGACUGAAUGAGGCGUGCAUGCUAGACCGGCUAGCUAGCAUGGGAAUACUUUGCCGGCUACAUCCAGCGGCCUGUGAAGCAGCGGAGUAUAUGUGUUGUCUGUCUAUUUCAAUCAAUCAAUCAAUCAAUCAAUGUUUACUUAUAUAGCCCUAAAUCACUAGUGUCUCAAAGGGCUGCACAAACCACUACGACAUCCUCGGUAGGCCCACAUAAGGGCAAGGAAAACUCACACCCAGUGGGACGUCGGUGACAAUAAUGACUAUGAGAACCUUGGAGACGAGGAAAGCAAUGGAUGUCGAGCGGGUCUAACAUGAUACUGUGAAAGUUCGAUCCAUAAUGGAUCCAACACAGUCGCGAGAGUCCAGUCCAAAGCGGAUCCAAAUAAUGCAGACCAGGAGUGUUGGCUGAGUUCUUAACGUUUGCUUUCAGAGCGUGCAUAUCACAACAUACAAGAUGCCGUCAUGGCGACACAACCUAUACCGGGCUACCGCGCAUGCUCCUCACUCCUGUUGCAUGCUGGGUAGGGUAGUUCUUUUAUUCCCUGGCUCAUAACAUCACAAUAUAGUACCAUGUAUAUGAUGCCUUCAGUUUAUCAAAGCACCAAGCAAACAAUCGGAAAAUUCCCAUCAUAUCAAUUCCUAGAUAUGGUCAUAAUUAUUUGAAGUGCACUACGCAGAAUAAACACAACAUUAUUAAUAUUGCUACUACGGAUAAUUUGAUCAAAAAUUCCCUAAAACAGCCCACUACCUAUAAUAUAGUUUUUUUAAACAUAAGACCCUGAUAAAAAAAAUGUUUCUGCUGUUACCUCAGAAAUUGCCUGUUCAGAUGUUAUGAUUGUGGCUCAGAGAUUUGUAUGUAGAUUAUAUUUAUUUUCCAUAACAAACAGGAUAACUUAAAUACCCUGGCAGUGGCAAUAAGCUUAAAUGUUUGUAUUGACAUUUUUGGAGUUGAUUUUCAUCAAAUAUGCUGUUUAACUGCUACUGUUUAACAAGGACUGAUUUAAAUUGUGUUUGCACAACAAAUGUUUUGGCGCUUUUGUUCAUGUGGGAGAAUAUUCCAAUAAAGGUGCACUACACACUA